rnacentral:lncRNA from 1 species
UGUGGAUGUUGAGAUCCAUUGCUAGAUAGUAUCUCGAUUAGUACAAGAAUUGGUUCAUGUGCUACCAGCUUAGUGUUUGAAUCUAUGAAGUCACGCACACAAGUCAGACAAAAUAGGAAGGAAUUGACCUAUGUUUAUAUAUCUAAUUUAAAAGUACUUAACUUGAUUGAACAUAUAAGCUAACUUGAUUGAGAAUUAAGUUAUGGAUCAAACAAGAUUGAAGAGUUGAUUAUGUCUAUCUAGCACAACACAUGAGGUUCAAGUUCGAUCUCGAAGAUGAAC